rnacentral:lncRNA from 10 species
GCUGGUGUACCUCAAAGCUUUCGAGGCCAACAAUUCUACAAAUUUUCAGGCGGGCAGCAUUUUCUUCAUUCUAUACUCCAAGGAAGAGGAGGGUCAGAGAGGAUAAAUAACCUGCCUCGGAUCUCAGAAUAGGUAAAUGACAGAGACUCCACUGCCUCUGUGAUUUCUCUCGAGGCCCUGGGACCCUCAGAUGGUGAAAGGCAAGAGUCUGCGAACCCCUGGAGGUCUGGAAGCAGGAUUCAUGGAGUUCUUUCCCCAGAGAGGAGCAGUCAGCUCUGAGUCAAUUAGCAGAGCAAUCAUCGGAAAUCAAGUCCCUGA